UUUCAAACUGGAAUUUUUAAUGCCCGGGGAGGGGGAAGGGAAUCCUCGUUUAGCGGGUAAAGCGUUGGGAUUUGGAAAAACACCCAGGGGGGAGGGGUUUUUUUUGGAUUUUAACUAACGUGAGGUUGAAAGCGGGGGGGCAACCAGGUUUUAUUCCCCUGUUUUUCCCGCCGUAAACGAGAAUUAUAGGUGUUGGGGUUGUCAUGACCUUUGUCCCGCCGCUAACGCAUUAAUAUUUCGCCUGGGGGAGGACGGUCGCAGGAUUAAAAACUCAAAGGAAUUGACGGGGGCCCGCCCAAGCAGCGGAGCAUGUGGUUUAAUUUGAAGCAACGCGAAGAACCUUACCUAGACUUGACAUCUCCUGCAUUACUCUUAAUCGAGGAAGUCUCUUCGGAGACAGGAUGACAGGUGGUGCAUGGUUGUCGUCAGCUCGUGUCGUGAGAUGUUGGGUUAAGUCCCGCAACGAGCGCAACCCUUAUUGUUAGUUGCCAUCAUUAAGUUGGGCACUCUAGCGAGACUGCCCGGGUUAACCGGGAGGAAGGUGGGGAUGACGUCAAAUCAUCAUGCCCCUUAUGUCUAGGGCUACACACGUGCUACAAUGGUCGGUACAAUAAGACGCAAGCCCGCGAGGGGGAGCAAAACUGGAAAACCGAUCUCAGUUCGGAUUGUAGGCUGAAACUCGCCUACAUGAAGCUGGAGUUGCUAGUAAUCGCGAAUCAGCAUGUCGCGGUGAAUACGUUCCCGGGCCUUGCACACACCACCCGUCA
rnacentral:rRNA from 1 species